AUUUAUAUAGUUUAAAAAACAUUACAUUUUCAAUGUAAAAAUAUUAAUUUAUUAUUUAUAAAUA
rnacentral:tRNA from 1 species